UACGAAGGGGGCUAGCGUUGUUCGGAAUUAUUGGGCGUAAAGCGCACGUAGGCGGUCCGUUAUGUCGGACGUGAAAGCCCUCGGCUCAACCGAGGAAGUGCAUCCGAAACUGGCGGGCUAGAGUACGAAAGAGGGUCGCGGAAUUCCCGGUGUAGAGGUGAAAUUCGUAGAUAUCGGGAGGAACACCGGUGGCGAAGGCGGCGAUCUGGGUCGAUACUGACGCUGAGGUGCGAAAGCGUGGGGAGCAAACAGG
rnacentral:rRNA from 1 species